rnacentral:lncRNA from 1 species
AAGACAAUAUAAAGUAAGUAGAGCUAACAUAAAAACUUCAUAGAACUAGAUUGAGUGAGUUCGGAUUGAAAGAAAUGUAUUACUUAGGUAAUUACAUUGAAGGAGUGGAGUUCGAACUAUUGGAUCCUUAACAUAAAAUCAUAUGAAGUAAGCUCAAUGUAGCAAUUAUUAUCCUAUGUGAAGUUCUAAUAGAAACUAAAUUUGCCUUCAUAGAAGGAAUAAAGAAAAAGAAUGUUACUUAAAUAAAAGGCCUUAGAGAAUGAGG